rfam:Salmo salar isolate Sally breed double haploid chromosome ssa20, whole genome shotgun sequence.
AAUGCACCAAUUUGUAAGUCGCUCUGGAUAAGAGCGUCUGCUAAAUGAAUGUGU